GUUAAAUAAAUUUAAAAAGCUAAUUACCUUUAAUUUGAACCUCUGGGCCCCAAUUGUUAGCUCCCCAUUAAAAAUAAACAGCUUGAGACAAAUAUGUACAUUUCUCAAGCCAUUUUGUGAAUAGGAGGCUACUAACUGGCUUAGAAAAUCAGUUGACACUCUCCAAUCAGCAGCACCCCCGUCAGUGGCAUUCCAAGGCUUCCUGUUUGAAAAAUCUCAGAAAAGCAGAAGGAGAAGUCUAAGGCUCAACAGUGCUUGAGACAAGACUUUGGAGCUAAACCAGUUGUAAAUGGUUUAACCCAAAAGAUAAGCUGGCACCAGGGACCUCC